UUUCGCAAUGCCCGAAAGGGUGACGAAGCGACGCCGCGUGCGGGAAGAAGGCCUUCGGGUUGUAAACCGCUGUCAGGAGUUAAGAAGUGCAAGGAUGUUAAUAGCAUCUUUGCUUGACUAAGGCUCCGGAGGAAGCCACGGCUAACUCUGUGCCAGCAGCCGCGGUAAUACAGAGGCGGCAAGCGUUGUUCGGAAUUAUUGGGCGUAAAGAGCACGUAGGCGGCUAUGCAAGUCGGUUGUGAAAGCCUUCCGCUCAACGGAAGAACGGCAUCCGAUACUGCAUGGCUCGAGUGCGGGAGGGGAGAGUGGAACUUCUGGUGGAGCGGUGAAAUGCGUAGAUAUCAGAAGGAACACCGGCGGCGAAAGCGACUCUCUGGCCCGUAACUGACGCUGAGUGUGCGAAAGCUAGGGGAGCAAACGGGAUUAGAUACCCCGGUAGUCCUAGCCGUAAACGAUGGGCACUAAGUAGAGGGGUUUUA
rnacentral:rRNA from 1 species